rnacentral:tRNA from 1 species
GACCGCGUAGCUCAGUUGGAAGAGCAUUGGGCUAGUAUUCCAAAGGUCGUAGGUUCGAAUCCAACCGUGGCCG